UAAAUUGGUCUCCAUUAUUACCUGGUC
rnacentral:piRNA from 1 species